rnacentral:rRNA from 1 species
GACGAACGCUGGCGGCGUGCUUGACACAUGCAAGUCGAACGGAAAGGCCUGCUUUCCCUUGUGGAUUGCGGGUACUCGAGUGGCGAACGGGUGAGUAACACGUGAGUGAUCUGCCCCCAACUUGGGUAUAAGCCUGGGAAACUGGGUCUAAUUCCCGAUAGGACUGCAGGGUGGUGCCUGUGGUGGAAAACGAUUUUCUAGUGGUUGGGGAUGAGCUCGCGGCCUAUCAGCUUGUUGGUGGGGUAAUGGCCUACCAAGGCGGCGACGGGUAGCCGGCCUGAGAGGGUGGACGGCCACAUUGGGACUGAGAUACGGCCCAGACUCCUACGGGAGGCAGCAGUGGGGAAUAAUGCACAAUGGGCGGAAGCCUGAUGCAGCGACGCCGCGUGGGGGAUGACGGCCUUCGGGUUGUAAACUCCUUUCGACCGCGAGGAAGCCACCUGGUUGGAAGGGUGGUGACGGUAGUGGUAGAAGAAGCACCGGCUAACUACGUG